rnacentral:rRNA from 1 species
GACAGAGGUGCCAAGCGUUAGGCGGAAUCACUGGGCUUAAAGCGUGUGUAGGUGGAUGCCUAAGUGCCUUGUGAAAUCCCACGGCUCAACCGUGGAAUUGCUGGGCAUACUGGGUGUCUUGAGCCAUCCAGGGGUCGCUGGAACAAACGGUGGAGCGGUGAAAUGCGCAGAUAUCAGGAGGAACACCGGUGGCGAAGGCGGGUCUCUGGGCCGAUAUUGACGCUGAGGAGCGAAAGCGUGGGGAGCGAACAGG